GGGGGAGAGUCCUGGCUCAGCUGUAGAACAUCUGCUUUGAGUGCAGAAGGUUCCAGGUCCAAUCCUUGGCUUCUGCA